CUCCUUUCUCCUCCCAGGUUUCUGCACCAAUAGACUACAGUAACCCUCCGACUGUCAAGAACCACAACGAGGUCCUCCGCUGCUUCAGCUUACUAGCAAACUCCUUCCCAGACCGGCUGGUCAUGUUCGUUCUUCAGAAGUUGGAGAACAGCAAUGAGCGCAGCAGGCUGGGCUCCCUGGCCGUCCUUCGUCACUUCAUCAACUCCACCACUUCCACAAUGGAGAAUAAGAAGCUGCUGAUUCUGGCCAGCAUCAGACAACCAAUGGCUGACCACAGCAACAAGGUAACA